rnacentral:rRNA from 1 species
AUUGAACGCUGGCGGCAGGCCUAACACAUGCAAGUCGAACGAGUGGCGGACGGGUGAGUAAUGUCUGGGAAACUGCCUGAUGGAGGGGGAUAACUACUGGAAACGGUAGCUAAUACCGCAUAACAUCAGAUGUGCCCAGAGUGGAUUAGCUAGUAGGUGGGGUAACGGCACACCUAGGCGACGAUCCCUACCUGGUCUGAGAGGAUGACCAGCCAAACUGGAACGGGGACACGGUCCAUAGUCCUACGGUGGGCAGCAGUGGGGAUGAUUGCACAAGGGGCGCAAGCCUGAUGCAGCCAUGCCGCGUGUGUGAAGAAGGCCUUCGGGUUGUAAAGCACUUUCAGCGGGGAGGCGUUACCCGCAGAAUAAGCACCGGCUAACUCCGUGCCAGCAGCCGCGGUAAUUC